UUUCUCCAGUGAGGGGGCGAAUUUGGCAAAUUACUCUACUGCACUUAUAUUAUUACACUGGUUAGCUAUUAACUGCGAGCACACAGAGUGUCAAUCAAUGCAUUGAAGAAUACGGCGAACAUAAAUAAAGAAACGAAGUUGUCAGAUUUCCCUAACAAGCAACCAUAUUUUUUUAAAUAAGCCCAAAAAAACGCAAACCGCGACCAGGAAUUUUUUCACGCAACUUUACAAAGAAAGAAAAGUGAGACCCUGCCAUGUACCCUGCCCUCUUCAUACAGGCUGUCAUGAUGUCAUCUCAGAAGAAUUUCAGCCACUAUGAGCCAGUCCCACAAUGAGCUUUCCUUAGGACGUGCCAUUCUGUGUCUGUAGCUUUAAAUGCUAAUGAGGAGGAGAGAGGCGGUGCAAGGUGGAGAGUGGGGGUGUGGCCUUAACCAGCUUGCGCUACCAUGCGCUAAUGUUGACAGUGGAUGUAUCGCAGUGGCUCAUAGACACGCAGUCGUUCAAGUUUUUCAGUUUGACCCAGAAUCUGAUCCGGAUGGAGAAGCACCGGAUGAAGAAGUUGCAACUCAGCGGCUACAGCAGGACGUCUCCGAAUGGCAGCGGAAGAACAACUUGGGGCACCUCCUGAAGAUGGAGACAGUGACUGACACACGCACACACACACUAAAUAUAUAAUUACUGUAAAUUAUGUUCUUGUUACUGUUUCCAUUAUUAGGACACAUUUUGAUGCUUUACUGUGGAAAUUGUCAUGGCAAUAAAGCCAAUUUGAACUGAAUUGAUUUGACUGAGUUCCCCCCUCUCUAUCUCCACCACCCUUCCUGUGCAUGACCAUAUUUAACGUUUAUAAUCUGUUUUUGUUCACAAAAUAAAUGAAUGCUUUCCUGCUUUGUAUUUUAUGUUUGAAUGUGUUAAGCAUGAACACAGUGCCUUAAGGUUCUGCAGACCAAGAACCGGUUUGAAAGGUCUGAUCCCCUAUAGUUUCCUGUAAUGCGUUACUAAAUCUUAGUAACUAAAGGAAGUAACUAAAUAGGACCAAAACAACAACAACAACAUUGUAGGUUUGUCCUGCAAAGGUUGAAUGUAGUAUAGAGACCAAUAGGGAACGUCCUAUAGUAAUGGUCCCCUUAACGUUCCCAAAACAUCCUGAAUGUUCUGUGAAGGUCCUCCAAAUAACGUCCCCCAACCCUUUAAAGAACUCGACAUCGUGACCGUCUCAGAACUUUCUGGGGACGUUACUAGAUGACGUCCUUGACACCAGCGGGGACGUUCUGAGGACAUUCUGGGAACGUAAAAUUUCUAGUAGGGAAACUCAAGUCUGUUAGAAAGCACUUCAUGUGUACGUGCUCAGAAGCACGUCAAAACAGCACAUUAAUUAAACGUUUAACCGCAAGGCUUUAAAGCACAUGCAGAUAAUGCACUUUUGUGAUUGCGCAUAAGUGCUGUGUCCCAUAAGUGUAACUCUACUGCCGAGAUAACAUUUGAUGUGAAUGUAUGUCGCAUUGUACAGUAUAUAUAUGAUACUACGAUAUUUCUUGAACUUGCACCAAUUAGCUCGCUCUGAAGAAGCACCUGGGCACACUUCAGCAGUCGGCACAAGAAUGACGCAAUAUGGCGAGAGCAUGAGAGAAAGGGAUGCCAGCUAGAGACGCGAGCCCCAUGAUCUUAACAUGGACUAUUUUACCGAUGUCCUUACUAUGUAAAUAAAUAAAAAGAAAACAGAUAGAAUAGAGCAAGGUAGUGUUAUAGUCCUUUUUUUGCUUUUGUUAAUUGCAUCGUAAAUAAAAAGAAAACAAAUAGAUAGAAUACAAAAAGCAAGUGUUAGUUUCUUUUUUUUUUUUUUUAAGAAUAGAAUGUGCUAGAGUUAGAUGGUCAAAUAAAGAUGGAAGAGAUAUGUUUUAGCCGAUUCUUGAAGAUGGCUAAGGACCACCUCUUUGGGAUGGCACAAUAAAGUGACGUUCACUUGCAGAACGCAAGUUUCUAGAGGGCACAUAAGUCUGAAGUAAUGAAUUUAGGUAAAGGGGUGCAGAGCCAGUGGUGGUUUUGUUGGCAAACAUUAAUUCCUUGAAUUUUAUGUGAGCAGAUAUUCUUAGUCAGUGCAAAUUGAUAAACAGAGGUGUGACAUGCAUUCUUUUUGACUCAUUAAAAACUUAUCUUGCUGCGGUGUUUUGGAUUAAUAGUAAAGGUUUGAUAGAACUGGCUGGAAGACCUGUCAAGAGAACAUUGCAAUAGUCCAGCCUGGACAGAACAAGAACUUGAACAAGGGAGUUGUGAAGCAUGUUCUCCUGAUCUUAUUGAUGUUGAAUAAAGCAAAUCUGCAGGACCGGGCAGUUUUAGCAGUGUGGUCUGAGAAAGUCAGCCGAUCAAUCAUAACUCCAAGGUUUCUGGCUGUUUUUGAAGGAGUUAUGAUUGAUGUGCCUAACUGGAUGGUGAAAUUGUGAUGAAACGAUGGGUUUGAUGAAACCACAAGCAGUUCUGUCUUGGCAGUGCUGAGUUGAAGGUGAUGGUCCUUCAUCCAGCAAGAAAUGUCUGUUAGACAAGCUGAGAUGCGAGUAGCUAUCGUCGGAUCAUCAGGAUGGAAUGAGAGGUAGAGUUGAGUGUCAUCAGCAUAGCAGUGGUAUGAAAAGCCAUGUUUCUGAAUGACAGAACCUAGUGAUGCUAUGUAGACAGAGAAGAGAAGUGGUCCAAGAACUGAGCCCUGAGUCACCCCAGUAGUUAGAUGUUGUGACUUGGACACCUCACCUCUCCAAUAUACCUUGAAGGACCUAUCGGAGAGGUAAAACCACUGGAGUGCAGUU